GAUGAACGCUGGCGGCGUGCUUAAGACAUGCAAGUCGAACGCAAUCCAAGUAGCAAUACUGGGGUUGAGUGGCGAAUGGGUGCGUAACACGUAGGUGACCUGCCCGAAAGUGGGGAAUAACAGUCCGAAAGGACUGCUAAUACCGCAUGUGAUGGUUGGGGUGAGAGCCCCGAUCUUCAAAGGUUCGCAAGAACCGCUUUCGGAGGGGCCUGCGGCCCAUCAGCUAGUUGGUUGGGUAACGGCCAACCAAGGCAACGACGGGUAGGGGACCUCAGAGGGUGGCCCCCCACACUGGCACUGACACACGGGCCAGACUCCUACGGGAGGCAGCAGUCGGGAAUAUUGCCCAAUGCGCGAAAGCGUGAGGCAGCAACGCCGCGUGCGCGAUGAAGGCCUUCGGGUCGUAAAGCGCUUUUCGGUGGGAUGAGGAAGGACAGUACCACCGGAAUAAGGGACGGUUAACUACGUGC
rnacentral:rRNA from 1 species